rnacentral:rRNA from 1 species
AAUAUUUGACAAUGAGCGAAAGCCUGAUCCAGCCAUUACGCGUGUGUGAAGAAGGUCUUCGGAUUGUAAAGUCCUUUAAGUUGGGAGGAAGGGUUGUUGAUUAAUACUCUGCAAUUGUGACGUUACCGACAGCAUAAUCCCCGGCUAACUUCGUGCCAGCAGCCGGCGUAAUACGAAGGGUGCAAGCGUUAAUCGGAAUUACUGGGAGUAAAGCGCGCGUAGGUGGUUCGUUAAGUAGGGUGUGAAAGGCCCUGGCUCAACCUGGGAACUGCAUCCAAAAAUGGCGAGCUAGAGUGCGAGAGAGGGUGGUGGAAUUUCCUGUGUAGCGGUGAAAUGCGUAGAUAUAGGGAGGAACACCAGUGGCGAAGACGACCACCUGGACUGAUACUGACACUGAGGUGCGAAAGCGUGGGGAGCAAACAGG